rnacentral:rRNA from 1 species
UGGGGAAUAUUGGACAAUGGGCGAAAGCCUGAUCCAGCCAUGCCGCGUGUGUGAAGAAGGUCUUCGGAUUGUAAAGCACUUUAAGUUGGGAGGAAGGGCAUUAACCUAAUACGUUAGUGUUUUGACGUUACCGACAGAAUAAGCACCGGCUAACUCUGUGCCAGCAGCCGCGGUAAUACAGAGGGUGCAAGCGUUAAUCGGAAUUAUUGGGCGUAAAGCGCGCGUAGGUGGUUUGUUAAGUUGGAUGUGAAAUCCCCGGGCUCAACCUGGGAACUGCAUUCAAAACUGACUGACAAGAGUAUGGUAGAGGGUGGUGGAAUUUCCUGUGUAGCGGUGAAAUGCGUAGAUAUAGGAAGGAACACCAGUGGCGAAGGCGACCACCUGGACUAAUACUGACACUGAGGUGCGAAAGCGUGGGGAGCAAACA